CUGCGCACUGGCGCCCACCGCCCCACCGCGCGCCGCCUCCUGGGGCCGCUCUCGGCUGCGUGCCCGUCGGGACUAACGGGGCGUCUGCGAGAAGGGGUGCUUCAAGGGCCUCUCCCGCGUGCCUGGCGCCCACCUUUGGCCCUGAGGGUCGAGUGGGGAGCCCCACGACCCUCUUACAGCCUUCCAGAUGCACGGACUGGGAAACGGGGGCUCAGAGAGGUCAAGUGGCUCGCCCAAGGUCACCCAGCGAGUGAUCCUGGGAAGAGGGGACAAGGGUCGAGCUGGAGCUGGGAAGGGCGCCCCAGUUCGCCCCAGCCGCGCUCUGAGGAAAAGCAGCGGGACCGUCCUGCUCUCUAAAGCUCCGUGGACUUCUUUAAGUUAUGUCGCGUUGCUGUCCCCUCGUAUUUACAAGAGAGUAAGGCAGGGGCGCCGUACUUUCUCCUCGCCUGAGCUCAGAGCGCCAACCUCCUGCGAUCCGCCAGCUCAGAGUCUCAACUUGCAAGAAGCAGAAAAAUGGCACAGUUAAAAGCAAGGCCUCUGGGAUUAAGCAGCCUGGAUUUGGAAUCAUGGCUGUGCUGCUCACUAGCUGUGACCUUGGGCAAGUUUCUUCACCUCAGGGUCCUCAUCCGUCAAGUGGAGAUGACAACAGAACCUAUUUCAUAAGAAGGCUAUCCUCUGGGCCUUCUGAGCCUCCCUCGCCUUCGCUUCAACUGUAACUCCAGGGACGCUGGGCAAACACCCAUCUGUGGACUCCUCGCUGCUGGACAUGGUGCUUCGCCCCAGCCCGGCCGACUGAGUGAAGGACCUGUGACCGCCGCACCUCUGUUUCUGACUUGGUCCCAGCAUCAGACUUGUAGGCUGCUUGUGGCUGCGCUUCUCAAUUCCAGGUAGCAAUCUGGGACACGCCCGACUGGCUCUUCAUCCCUCCCUGAUGUGAGCUGGCAGAGUCAGUCCGCCAGCAGCUGUGGAGGAGGGCUAUGCACUAGGAAACUGACAGCAAGGGCACUGAAUCUUCUGCUCCAGACCCUCCUUCUCCGAGAAGCUUCCAAGAGGGCAGGUGCCAAGCGCCGGGAGUGCCCACGCGGGGUCCUCCAGGGAGGAGGGAGAUGAAUGUCUCUGUGAGAUGCUCAGGAAAUUGUCCCCACCCACCAACCUGGCGGAGCCGUUGGCUGUGGGGCACCUCCACGCCGUGCUGCACACUCUGCUGGUCUUCAUGAGAUCACCGCCCUGCAGGCACUAACCCUCUGACCCUUUUGAAAAGGAGAAAUCAGGUCUUGGGAAAGGUGGUGAUUUUCCCACAAGCAGCUGCAGGUGGUACUCACACUCAGGUCUUUCGGCUUCCAGGCCGUAAGAGGUCUCUCUAGAAUACACCAGUGCUCACUGAACACAUACUAUGGGCAGAGACUGCUCUGGGUACCGGGGACAUAGCCAUGGACAGAACAGACUUCUCCAAAGGCCCGUAAGGCCAGGGCACUGGGGCUGCGUACUCCAUCUGCAGAGUCUGUGGUUAGACUGACCAGACGCCCAGGUCUGGACUGGAAGCCCCGCACUGCAAUGAGGAGCUGUGGCUGCUCUUUCUUCUCACGUCCAGGUCUGGGACUAGCCUCUCAGCCCCAGAGACAAAAGGGUACUUCCCAAACCCACCCCACCCAGUGACACUGGGUCAUCUCAGAAAACACAGCAAGUCCCUGUGGCCCCAGCCCACCACCAUGGCACUGUCCGCCAGAAUCCACACCUGCCUCCUCUUCCCCCACUGACUGACUCCUGGGGAGAGACAGACAAGUCCCUGGCCUUUAUGACACUAACUAUAAUAAGUCAAACAGCUGCAGCAACUCAGUGUCAUCAGAGGAGACACAAAAUGUAGGGAGUGUGUGUGAGGAAGUUUUCAUAUUUGCACAGGACAGCUGCUCACACUACAAGCUUCCUCUUCCUUUUGUUUAAGAAGGUGAAUCCUAUCCCAGUUACUCCAAACCUCUGCAAUGCCGUACUGUGAAAUCCUAAUCCAACUGCACCAAAGGCCAGAGAGACCUCAGCUUGGCCCCAGCUGCCCUGCUUACUGUCCUCCUCACAAGAUCAUUUUGAGGUUGAAACUGAAGGAUUAAGCUCACAUAGGCACCACAUGCAUUUUAAAGCUUUUCCAUUCUCCAUCCUCUCCGCUCCAGUAGCAUUGUUUGUGCUCCUGUUCACACUUGACACAUCUGGUCCUGGUCAUCUGUGGACCCCUUUGCCUUCACACUGUCCUCAGAGCCUGCUCAGCUGCCCAGCCCCAGUGCCUGGUCCAGAGGUCAGUUCACAGCAAGCACUCAGCAUUCAUUCUGGAUCUGUGUCUCCUAAAAUGCAGUCCCAGAACAGCACUGCUACCCAGCCAUCUGAGGCCAAUGCAUUUGUCAUGUAAGACAGGCACCAAAAGAUGGCACAUCCUUACCUAGAAAUCAGUCCUUUAUGUAUCAGGGAGAAAGACACCAAGAGUGUUCACUCUGAACCCUGACUCCAGUCAGUUACAGCAGGAAAUACUUUUUCAAACCUUGUAACUGUGGCUGAAAAGCCUUGACACAAGUUGGGGAGGACACAAAGCAACUCUUCAAAGUUUGGAGGCUUCACACAGUUCAAAGCCCUGUGUGGAUCUGGAGUGCCUUCACCAAGGACUAGUUGGUCUGUGAGUGGCUCCCUUGUAUUUUACUCAAACAAGCUCCAAAAUCCUCCUGCAUUCAGGUAGUCACAAGCCACCACUUUUUAGAGAUAAGGAAACUGUUACUCAGAAGGUUUAAGUGACCCAGAGGUAGUAAGUGGAGAAUUGGACACAUGCUUGCAUGCAUACACACACACACACACACACACACACACACUCCACCCAUUGUGAGGAUGGGUAGAAUCAGACCUUCAAUCGCAGUCACUCACAUACCUGAAGACACCUGUUUUUCUGUCUAUAUCCAUCUGCCCUGCAAAUCUAUACCCUCCUCAGUAUUUGGUGGAUGGAAACUUCAGUUUCUCUCACCAGCUCUCUUCUUUGACAAGAGAAUCGAGCCAUCCUGGCUGUCUUUCUGCAGCUUAAAAAAAUUUUUUAAAAAUGAAAAUAAACCACACACACAGAUAUUGUGCACACACCCCCUAGUGGCCACAUGUGGAAACACAUGCCCCACAAAGUUUGCGUUGGGGUUGAUAACCACUUGAGUUUGAGGAGGAAACCCCAGAUAGGACUGCAACUCCAUCCUAGGAAGGAGGAUGGCGAAAGAUGAUCUUAUGUGGAAGACAGUGAGAAAGGAGAAAGACAAAGAAAAAGUGGGGCAGAAAGAAAAGUGUGAUGGAGAAAAAGAAGGCAGGAGAACAAAAGGAAGAUUAAGGAAAGAUGUAUGGGAGGACAGAGAGAUAACAAUAAGACAAGCUUAAAGGAGGGAUGUUCCUCAAUGUGAAGUCUUUCUCUGUUUCAAAUAUAACUACAAAAAGUAAUAAUGGAAAAUAACACGAAUUGGUGUGUCCAGGGUCAGCUGGCCAUCCUGUACACAGGCAGGUGGUGACAGGGUCCAUAUCUGACCCCAUCACUGCCUGACUGGGUAAUCUUUUCAGAAUCCAAAGCUUUCUCUGUCCCUAUUUCUGAGCUUGUAAAGGGUAGCUAAUAGCAGUUGUUCUUUCCUAUUUUAUUGAGGUCUGAUGAGAACAAUAAAGAUUUGCAGAGAAAACCCUGAAAAGUGCUCUAAGCUCUUGGACAUAACCAUCACAGAAAUGUGUUUUAUUAUUUUUCUCAAUGCAGCAGAAACCCUCCAUCCUUUGCUUCCUGGUCUAAAAGGUUAUAUGUGAUGCUGGAGUGCCAAAGUACUUGCUGUAUUUCAACAAUGCAUCAAGUUAUCACCACCUCUAGUGCUUUGGAAGAUGCUGUGAUUUGGAAAGCGCUGUCGAAAUGUAAAACAUUAUUGCCACAGUAGUAAAAAUAUCUGUGUCCAUCUCCUAGCCCACUAUUUCUUGUCAGGAUGCAUAGAGAUACACACAAAACAAUUCUGUCCACAUUAGUAGAAUGUUUUACAGCAAAACCGCACAUACCUCAGUUUGGCAAAAUAAUCAGAAACAAAAUAUUUCUGUCAGUGGCAAGUUAGCCUUAGUAUCCAAAAAGCUACCGAGGGGGUGAUAAAGUGUUUCGUGUCCACUGCAAAUGUGAAGACAUCCAGGUCUCAUAUAAAAAUGCCAGCUUGGGCUUGUGUUUUUCUUAAGAAAGGAAGAAACAAACUUACAAAUGGGCUGUGGAAAAAGAAUGGACAUAAAGCUGAGAUUGUGGACUUAAGUUAGAUCAUUGAAUUACAAGAGAAACAUUUUUUCUCAAAAUGAAA